rnacentral:rRNA from 1 species
AUUGAACGCUGGCGGCAUGCCUAACACAUGCAAGUCGAACGAAAGGCGGACGGGUGAGUAAUGUCUGGGCAACUGCCUGAUGUAGGGCGAUAACGACGGGAAACGGUAGCUAAUACCGCAUACCACCAGUUAUGCCGAGAUGGGAUUAUCUUGUUGGUGGGGUAACGGCUCACCAAGACGACGAUCCCUAGCUGGUCUGAGAGGAUGACCAGCCACACUGGGACUGAGACACGGUCCAGACUCCUACGGGAGGCAGCAGUGGGGAAUAUUGCGCAAUGGGCGAAAGCCUGAUCCAGCCAUGCCGCGUGUGUGAAGAAGGUCUUCGGGUUGUAAAGUACUGUUGUCAGGGAGGCGUUACCCACAGAAGAAGCACCGGCUAACUCCGUGCCAGCAGCCGCGGUAAUAC